AAUAGAUACUCAGGUAGUCCAUGCCGUAAACGAUGUCUACUAGCCGUUGGGGCCCUUGAGGCUUUAGUGGCGCAGCUAACGCGAUAAGUAGACCGCCUGGGGAGUACGGUCGCAAGACUAAAACUCAAAUGAAUUGACGGGGGCCCGCACAAGCGGUGGAGCAUGUGGUUUAAUUCGAUGCAACGCGAAGAACCUUACCUGGCCUUGACAUACAGAGAACUUUCCAGAGAUGGAUUGGUGCCUUCGGGAACUCUGAUACAGGUGCUGCAUGGCUGUCGUCAGCUCGUGUCGUGAGAUGUUGGGUUAAGUCCCGCAACGAGCGCAACCCUUUUCCUUAUUUGCCAGCACUUCGGGUGGGAACUUUAAGGAUACUGCCAGUGACAAACUGGAGGAAGGCGGGGACGACGUCAAGUCAUCAUGGCCCUUACGGCCAGGGCUACACACGUGCUACAAUGGUCGGUACAAAGGGUUGCUACCGCGCGAGCAGAUGCUAAUCUCAAAAAGCCGAUCGUAGUCCGGAUCGC
rnacentral:rRNA from 1 species